AACGAACGCUGGCGGCAUGCCUAACACAUGCAAGUCGAACGAGACCUUCGGGUCUAGUGGCGCACGGGUGCGUAACGCGUGGGAACCUGCCUUUAGGUUCGGAAUAACUCAGAGAAAUUUGAGCUAAUACCGGAUGAUGUCUUCGGACCAAAGAUUUAUCGCCUUUAGAUGGGCCCGCGUUGGAUUAGCUAGUUGGUGGGGUAAAGGCCUACCAAGGCUACGAUCCAUAGCUGGUCUGAGAGGAUGAUCAGCCACACUGGGACUGAGACACGGCCCAGACUCCUACGGGAGGCAGCAGUGGGGAAUAUUGGACAAUGGGCGGAAGCCUGAUCCAGCAAUGCCGCGUGAGUGAUGAAGGCCUUAGGGUUGUAAAGCUCUUUUACCCGAGAUGAUAAUGACAGUACCGGGAGAAUAAGCUCCGGCUAACUCCGUG
rnacentral:rRNA from 1 species